GUUUGGUCCCAGCCUUGAAAUCAGUUCUUACUUAAUAUACACAUGCAAGUCUCCGCACCCCAGUGAGAACACCCUUAAAUCCCCAUUAGGGAAAAGGAGCUGGUAUCAGGCCCCCUUUAUGCCCACAACACCUAGUCUCGCCACACCCACAAGGGUUUUCAGCAGUGAUUAACAUUGAGUAUUUUUUUAAGCGUCAGCUUGACUCAGUUAAAGUAUUUUAGAGCCGGCUAAUCUGGUGCCAGCCGCCGCGGUUACACCAUUGUGGCUCAAAUUGAUUUCCUUCGGCGUAAAGUGUGAUUUAAGAGCCUGUUAUUCCUGGAAUCCUACUAAAACUAAGCUGUGACACGCUUGUUACCUAAGAAGACCUCAAACGAAAGUUAUUCCAACUUCAUCAACUUGAACUCACGAUAACUGAGAAACAAACUAGGAUUAGAUACCCUACUAUGCUCAGUCGUAAACUUUAAAUUUACUCCCAACACGCCCGGGAACUACGAGCCAAGCUUAAAACCCAAAGGACUUGACGGUACCCCAUAUCCCCCUAGAGGAGCCUGUCCUAUAAUUGAUAAUCCCCGUUUAACCUCACCACUUCUAGCAAUUCAGCCUGUAUACCUCCGUCGUCAGCUUACCACGUGAGCGUUAGUGAGCUCAAUGUUAUUUCAACCAAACGUCAGGUCAAGGUGCAACAUAUGAAGCGGAAAGAGAUGGGCUACACUUUCUACCCAUAGACCACACGAAAGACUAACUAUGAAACCUAGUCGGAAGGCGGAUUUAGAAGUAAAACGGAACUAGAGAGUCCUUUUUAACCCGGCACUGGGGUGUGUACACACCGCCCGUCACCCUCCUCAACGCUACCAAAAAGUUUUUAACACUUCAUCAGCCACUAAGAAGAGGCAAGUCGUAACAUGGUAAGCAUACCGGAAGGUGUGCUUGGAAA
rnacentral:ncRNA from 1 species